rnacentral:rRNA from 1 species
AUUGAACGCUGGCGGCAUGCUUUACACAUGCAAGUCGAACGGCAGCGGGGAGGAGCUUGCUUCUCUGCCGGCGAGUGGCGCACGGGUGAGUAAUACAUCGGAACGUGUCGAGAAGAGGGGGAUAACCACCCGAAAGGGUGGCUAAUACCGCAUAAAUUCCGAGGAAGAAAGCUGGGGACCUAGGAAUAGGCCUAGCGCUUUUUGAGCGGCCGAUGUCGGAUUAGCUAGUUGGUGAGGUAAAGGCUCACCAAGGCGAAGAUCUGUAGCGGGUCUGAGAGGAUGAUCCGCCACACUGGGACUGAGACACGGCCCAGACUCCUACGGGAGGCAGCAGGGGGGAAUUUUGGACAAUGGGGGCAACCCUGAGCCAGCCAUGCCGCGUGGAUGAAGAAGGCCUUAGGGUUGUAAAGUACGUUUGUUAGGGAAGAAAAGUCAGCUGUGAAUAAUGGCUGAUACUGACGGUACCUAAAGAAUAAGCACCGGCUAACUACGUG